rnacentral:tRNA from 1 species
UGACGUGAAGCAUCUGUGGUGAUACGUCUGACUUUUAAUCAGAAGGUGCAGGUUCGAAUCCUGUCACGUCAA